UUUAUCACAAAAAAAUAGGCAUCGCUAAAUCUUUCAUCAUACGAAAAUAUAGGUUGUUACGUUUAAUUUGUUUUGCUUAGAUAGUAUGCUUUGAAAGCCUAAUUAGUUGUUAAGCAAACGAUGAAAAACACAACAUUCAAAUUGCAUUGCUCCGUCAAACUCGGUUCGAGAAUUACGUACAUUGCAAUCAUUCAAUGACGAUCAUCGACCGGCCAGCAGAGUCAGUGAACACGAUCACGCUGGGAGAAACUGGGGAGAUAAUCGGUAUCAAUACACAUACUCGAACAACCAGAGGCAGCUACCACACUAGGAGAUCAUACCGUGGACAAGUGAGAAGCGUCGCCACCACUACAUGAGAGCACGAGAGAAGGAAUGGAGCGAAAGAUCCGUCGGCAUCAUCAUGCUGGAGAAGUUAAGUUCAACACGGCACGCACACCAUUAAAGCCCGCCGGCAGAACAAGUGAACGAUCGCAAAGGAGUGGAGUUUAAUUGUCUUCCAUCUGUAAGCCAAACCGCGUGUGCCGUUCAGUCGGCGGUGAAAAUUUCCAUUUCGGAAUUGAACAAAGUGCGUUCGUUAGAAAACCCCUCGAAGACGGCCCACUGGAUUAGCUGAUCUUAUUCUCGACCUGUGAGCAGGUGUAGCACCCGGAAACCUGUGUAAGAAAUCGAUUGGCCAGAUGGAAGAACAACAGGCCAAAAGAAGGUGAGCCGAGUGAUCAUGGCUUCGGCCUAAAUUUUGCGAAACUAAUUUCCGCCAUCUUUGAUUUGGCAGCUAAAUCCGCGUGUGCUUUCCAAGAAGGAGGGAUUCGUCGAAAAAACAAGACCGUCUGGAUUGUCGGCCGCCAUUGCCGAAAAUCAUUCCCGAUUGGAAAUAGAUGACUGUCCACGCACGGACUCUGGAUUAAACACGCUAGGUGGAGACAAUCGUGUGAAGAGCAGGAGAAAGUCGAGAAUCAUCACCGGUCAAGCCGAAAGCCAACUCGAUCGCCAGAACUAUCCCGACAGAAGCGACUUAGACCGGAUCACGUCGCAGAGCAGAGAGCCCCUCUAGAAGGGUAAGAUUCGCGCUAGCUGAUCUGCAGAGAAUUUUGCUGACGUUUCGUCGCCUGCAGGGCUCUUUUCUUUCUUACAGUUUUGCGCACUCAACGUGCCUAGAGGACGAGACAGGUCGCAGGGUCGCGGCGUCGUAAAUCGAACAUUCCGUUCGCAAUAUCACCCACCCCACACCCGAAGAGCAGUCGCGCCAAGCAUAGCGCGCAGGACAGAGGAUUUCCGUAGCGGAGUUGCCACGACAUUCAGGCGAGACGCGUAAUACGGAGGUUUGCUGUACCGGAGGAGUUUUGAUCGGGGGUGUGCCUAUCGAAAGGUGGUGGAUAUGUUGGCUAGGAAGGCGGCAGCUGUGCAGCAUCAACAGGACCGGCGCAAGGCUUCCCUGGAAGAUUAUCCGGUGGCGUAAGAGCAUGCAGAGUCAGUGAGUCCUAGAGCUUAAGAGCAAUGCAUAUUAGCUUUUAAGAAUCCUAGUGCAGGAUAGCGUAGGAGGUCUCAGGACCGAGAAUAGGAGGCCAGGACAGGCAAAAUGUUGAAUAUACGCAUUUAAAAUGAA